GACGAACCGUGCGAACGUUAUUCGGAAUCACUGGGCUUAAAGCGCGUGUAGGCGGACGGGGACGUCGGUCGCUGAAAUCCCCCGGCUCAACCGGGGAACGGGCGCCGAAACGCCCCGUCUCGAGGGACGUAGGGGGACCUGGAACUUCCGGUGGAGCGGUGAAAUGCGUUGAGAUCGGAAGGAACGCCCGUGGCGAAAGCGAGGUCCUGGACGUCUACUGACGCUGAGACGCGAAAGCUAGGGGAGCAAACAGG
rnacentral:rRNA from 1 species